CCAAAUAAAGAUUGCAUUCAGGAGUGGUGCCCUGCCGUAUUUAGCGAAAGCAUGAAUGCUUACAUCGGGCAAGGAUCAGGUGAUGGAGACGACGCCACUUCGUGCUUGAAGUUAUGGUGCCCAGCUGCCACGCAUUUUUCGAUGAACAGCUGGAUUUGUCCUUCUGACCUUGAUCCGGAUAUGGCAACGAUGUCAACUACGAAGGAUGAGGCGGCGCCUGGCACAGACCAAACGACAAAUCAGGAUACUAAGCAAGAUGGCGCGGAACAGGAUAAAAAC
rnacentral:lncRNA from 1 species